AGAAUCAACGCUGGCGGCGUGCCUAACACAUGCAAGUCGCACGAGAAAGGGGAGCAAUCCCUGAGUAAAGUGGCGCACGGGUGAGUAACACGUGAAUAAUCUACCUCCGAGUGGGGAAUAACUGAGAGAAAUCUUAGCUAAUACCGCAUAACACUUACGAGUCAAAGCAGCAAUGCGCUUGGAGAGGAGUUCGCGGCCGAUUAGUUAGUUGGCGGGGUAAUGGCCCACCAAGACGAUGAUCGGUAU
rnacentral:rRNA from 1 species